rnacentral:lncRNA from 1 species
AUUCGAAAACACCAUUUUAGACAUCCUUCUUUGGAUUUAACAGUUUUUUUUUUUCAAUAUCCCGCAGUUAUCAACUUCAUUAGCGGUAAAGUGAUUCACAAAGGUACUUCGGUUGACAAAUGUGACUUAGUUAGGUGCUUUUUGUUUGUUUAUUGAGGGUGUAAUUAGUGCUACUGAUCGGGUACUACUAAGAGAGGAAUUUUAGUUACCUUGUAGAAAAUAGUAAGCUAUGUUUAUAUUCUAUGCAAAACAUACACAGAAAUAUCUACACUACGUUUGCAACUUAACACACCAAAAAUGUAUCGUUUCAAAUUAAGAAUAAAAAUAUAGGAGUUGGGAAUUUAUGAGGAAACUUCUGUACUACAAAGAAAGAAAAAAAGAAAUUAUGAGGAAACUAGCCAAAACAGCCGAAAUAUAAACGAGGAAGCCAAGCUCAUGACUUGACAUGUAAUAGGAGGCCGUUGAAAGCUUUAGUUAUUGAAAUUGUUUUUGUUUUCUUUUGGGGUCAACUUGGUGUAUUAGUUCAAAGACUUAACAUGUCUAUAAGUGCAAGCAUGCCGCAUGAGGUAAAGAACAAACUUCAUAAGGUAAAGAAGUGUAUAAAUAUUAAAACAUUAAUUAUGUUAGUUAUAAUUUAUAAAUACACUAUUUAAUCAUAUUAAACAAUUUCCCAUGACACGGAUCGCAUGAUUAUAUAAUCCGGAGACAUCCAAAGACUAAAAAAUAUCCAGUAAAUCCCAUUUCAUAAAUCUGACUUGGGAUAUGAACAUAGGAGGCUAUUUUAAAUUGUUUGUAAUAAAAAUAGAACUAUAAUAAAGUUGUGUGAGGGAGGUUGGUUAGUAAUGUGUAUAUUUUGUGUUAUAUAUCCAAAAAUGGGAGUUGGAGUUAAUGUGAGUAUUAAAGUUGCAUCGGCAUUCAUCAAUUCAUCAACCUCCCCUUCUCCCAUCUUUAAUUGUCUUUAUUGUCUCUCCAUUUAUUGACCUCUCCAUUUUUCCAAACUCUUCUUCCUUCAUAUACACCAUUCUUAUCACCAUGCAUACAUUCAUGAUACAUAUAUACAUCCAUAU